AGUGAACGCUGGCGGUAGGCCUAACACAUGCAAGUCGAACGGCAGCACAGUAAGAGCUUGCUCUUACGGGUGGCGAGUGGCGGACGGGUGAGGAAUACAUCGGAAUCUACUUUUUCGUGGGGGAUAACGUAGGGAAACUUACGCUAAUACCGCAUACGACCUACGGGUGAAAGCAGGGGAUCUUCGGACCUUGCGCGAUUGAAUGAGCCGAUGUCGGAUUAGCUAGUUGGCGGGGUAAAGGCCCACCAAGGCGACGAUCCGUAGCUGGUCUGAGAGGAUGAUCGGCCACACGGGAACGGAGAAACGGUCCAGACUCCUACGGGAGGCAGCAGGGGGGAAUAUGGGACAAUGGGCGAAAGCCUGACCGAGCAACGCGGCGGGGGUGAAGAAGGUCUUGGGAUGGUAAAACCCUUUUAUUGGGAAAGAAAAAAGGCGUAAUAAACCCCGCUUGUUGUGACGGUACCAAAAGAGAAAGCCCCGGCUAACUACGUG
rnacentral:rRNA from 1 species